UUGAAGGAAGUUUUCGGAUGGAAUUCGAUUGACUGAGUGGCGGACGGGUGAGUAACGCGUGGAUAACCUGCCUCACACUGGGGGAUAACAGUUAGAAAUGACUGCUAAUACCGCAUAAGCGCACAGUACCGCAUGGUACGGUGUGAAAAACUCCGGUGGUGUGAAAUGGAUCCGCGUCUGAUUAGCCAGUUGGCGGGGUAACGGCCCACCAAAGCGACGAUCAGUAGCCGACCUGAGAGGGUGACCGGCCACAUUGGGACUGAGACACGGCCCAAACUCCUACGGGAGGCAGCAGUGGGGAAUAUUGCACAAUGGGCGAAAGCCUGAUGCAGCGACGCCGCGUGAGUGAAGAAGUAUUUCGGUAUGUAAAGCUCUAUCAGCAGGGAAGAAAAUGACGGUACCUGACUAAGAAGCCCCGGCUAACUACGUGCCAGCAGCCGCGGUAAUACGUAGGGGGCAAGCGUUAUCCGGAUUUACUGGGUGUAAAGGGAGCGUAGACGGCGAAGCAAGUCUGAAGUGAAAACCCAGGGCUCAACCCUGGGACUGCUUUGGAAACUGUUUUGCUAGAGUGUCGGAGAGGUAAGUGGAAUUCCUAGUGUAGCGGUGAAAUGCGUAG
rnacentral:rRNA from 1 species